UACGUAGGGUGCAAGCGUUGUCCGGAUUUAUUGGGUUUAAAGGGUGCGUAGGCGGCUUUUUAAGUCAGUGGUGAAAUACAGCAGCUCAACUGUUGAGGUGCCAUUGAUACUGAGAGGCUUGAGUACAGAUGAGGUAGGCGGAAUUUAUGGUGUAGCGGUGAAAUGCAUAGAUACCAUAAAGAACACCGAUUGCGAAGGCAGCUUACUAAGCUGUAACUGACGCUGAGGCACGAAAGCGUGGGGAGCGAACAGG
rnacentral:rRNA from 1 species